GGGGAGAGUAAAGAUUCAUACGGCGACUCGUACGAGCGCGUCGUAACUUCAGUCCCACUUUUCCGCGCGUAUAUAUUCUAUCGCAAUAGUAUUUCAAAGUCCAACAGCCUCUAGAGGACCGAGGGAAAGUACCUAUACUCCACUUUGUGUGCAGGGAUGUAUUCUCAGGGACAUUUCCUUGAAAAGAAUAUUCAGAUCGGGAUGUGAUCGGGAUGUGACGCGGGGUUGCAGUUCGCGGAGCUCGCGGAUAUGAGCGUCUUGUUUUCCUGGUAAUUCCGUUUUUGUAAAUUUCCCCGGCGAAUCUCGUCGAGCGGAGACGCGACGAGGAAAUUUCGUGGAAACGGUGGAAUUGGAGGACCCAGAAUGUCAGAAUGAGGUAAAUCCAGGAGCAAGAAUCGCAGGAUCCACUUUAAAAUUGAAAUAUUAAGUACUCGUACAAGAUGGUUUGACCUCGCGCUGAAGUUAGCUUCACGACGCGGUAACAAUAUCUCUCUUGCGGCAUGAUUAAGUUAUCUGCGGAAGGACGGGUGGAUCGAAUAAGCAUCCUUCAUAUCGCACUUCCGCUGCGACACCCGCGAAGACACGAAGAGCAACGACGCGCGUUCCCGAGCUUAUGAUUUACAGCUUCGUGCCAAUUUGAACCCGUUUGCGUGGCUGUUAACUCGACCAUAGGUCGGAAACAUGAGAUGACCUUAUGUCUCUGCAACGUCGCUGGAUCGAAUUGCCCCCAGCAGCAGAAGCGAACUUUAAUAUACCUGAUAAUCGCGGGGUUAUCAACUGAAGACUACAUUUGCUGUGUGUGUGUGUGUGUGCGCGCGCGCGAAUAUUAUGCGUAAUUGCAUUUCUCAUAUCACUACAUUGCUCGGAGACAGAAACUUUUGAUGAAAUGAAUAUAAUCUGCCGUACAUUCAGUGGUAACGAAGUAGUAAAAGUCAAUUUGCGUUAGACAUUAACAGUUUGCUCGCUGUCACGAGCAAUUUUAUUUGAAUAUUCCCGAUGUACACAGUACGCACGGUUUCUUGUUAUACAUUAAAUUGCAAAUAUUAUUAUUUUAUAAGUUUUAUUGUCAUCUGUGAUUAACAAUAUAUUCCCCUAUUAUCAAAUAUACGUUAUUUAAAUCGGAUAGAGUGUUAAAUAUGCACAGUUCUCAAUAUCCGUGUUGAUCGUAACAACUUUUCCAUUAUUGAUUUAAAUAAAUCGGAAAUAUUGAAAUAAAUUAGUUCGUUCCAUAAGUUGGUCUCAUGCGUGCGUAAAUUAUUUUUAACGUCAUGGAAUAUCCUCUAACACUCUGUAUCCUUGAACAAGGCACGCGAAAGGAUCUAAAUAUAUUCGCUGCAGGAUCUAACGGGUGCAUAUAAUCGUUACACGAAAUGAGGUAGAGGCCCCAUGGAAUCGUUUCCGCGAAAGUUACCCCUCAGUGGUUAAUAGAGUAUGUGUGGCAAAGUGCAUACGAAAGAGGGAGGACCGGAAGGGAGGUAUAAUAAAAUUAUCAAUAUGUGGAAGCCUCUUAUUCCAAGUACGUGCGCGAGAGCAGCGAGAGAGCAGGGUAACAAGAAAUUCAUUUCGUCACGGAUCUAGUUAUCCAAAACAUCCAACGAAAUUCAAGAGAUUGUCAAGAGACGGCUCCGUAAAAUUUAUCGCGUUUCCAUCGCGCCCCAUCGCGAAAUCUUACGAUCUCUGGCUGAAUCUAUUUUCGAGUAAUGCUCACAAAUUUUGCAACCUUUCCCCGUUGUUGCUAUUACCGAUAAUAUUAUUUCCUCUCGAGCUAAGAGCAGUCAUUUUGUAGUUAUCCCGAUAAAAUUGGGUCUUCAUAACGGCGGUCCUCGACCUAUUCCAACAGCCACAAGGUCGAUUUGCGGGUCUGAAAGAAGAAAUGGAAGUGAGGUUGUAAGAUGAGUAAGGAAAGAGAGUGAGAUAGAGAGGAGAAGGAUGGAGGGAAAAGGAGGCAGCGUGACGAUGUCGAAUUGAUCGCGAAUAAAGGAGGGGCUUCGCCUCGUUUGAAGCUUUUGAAGCUUUUAGCUUCGUCGAGGCUCAGUCGCGAUAUUUUUUGAGAGAGCUUCGCCGGCUGACAUUUAUAUGGUGUGGAUUUAAUAAAUGAUUGAGUUGAAACGGA